CACUAGUGUAUGUAUACAUUUUCUGUAUGUGGGCAAGCACACAGUCACACACACACACACACAUGCAGAGUGUGAGCAAUGUAGUAUAAUAAGCAGCAUGGCAGCAGUGUGGUCAGCGUUGCCCCAUGUGCAAUCGUUGAGAAGCCACAUGAAGGCUUCUGGGUAUUAAAGGACAAGCCUUGGUUGGCUGGGACGGAAUCUGUCAUGAAACUAGAAAACGGUGUUUUUCACCCGUUUUUUUUUUUUUUCCUCUCUCAUUUCGUCUCAAGCGUUUUUUCCUCGUGUUCUUCCACCCACCUCCCUCUCUCACUCUGCCCACUUGCUUCCCUUCUUCAUUUCUUUCAUUCUGAGGCAUAUUAGACUCAGUUGUAAUACUCUCCAGCCCAAAAUGCUUAGACCACUGGAAUGUUCCGUCAAAGAGGUGGGCGGGCCCUGGGGGGCGGGACAGACCAACAUAACCAAUUAAGGAGGAGAUUGAGCGGUCUUCUUCAGUGGUUUUGCUCCCCGACCCUGCGGCGGGAAAAUACGCUCACUUGUGGGUUUCUGGGAAGGCAGCGGUGGACGAAACAUCUGCUGGGAGCAAGAUGUAUGUAAGUGUGUGCAUGUGUGUGAGCGUGUGCGUGUACAGACAGUGUCCUGCUUCCUAUUCAAGUUUACAGCUUCGUUUGAGUGAUGGUAAAAUACAGAGACACAAACAUUGAUUGUUUUGUUUAAAAAAAAAUGUAAUCAUCAAUUAUUACAGUUUAAAUACAUUUUAUUGUGGAGGCUUUUAAAGAAGUGUCUACAUCAUGAUGAGUGGCUUUUAUUUUGAACGCUUUAUUAUUCCUAAAUAUAUAUUAAAGUUGGCAAGAAAACAAAGUAGAUCACGUAAGUUUCUUUUAAGAAUAUUGUCUGACGUUUAGAAAAGGAAGUAAAAAAAAUGUGCUUGUUUAUUGGACACACCUGAACCGUAAAUACUCUGCAGCAAUAGCAAAAUUUUCCACAACAUGAAUCUGUCUCCAACGCUGCUCCAACGUGUUUUGAAUUAGAUCAGACCAGACAUAGUUCUGAGGCCAGGGAAUGUGGGGAAUUACAGUAAAAACACACAGUUCUUUAAGAGUUUUUUAAGUAAAUUGAUGCCUUGAUGAUAAACAAGUUCCACUGCAUAUUUGUCACAUUUUUUGUGAGAACUUACAGCUACUUUUAGGUUUUAGAUCAUAAUGGGAUAAUUACCUUCUUGGACUCAUUUAUGACAGUAUUAUGUUUUUAUAUCCAGUGGUUGUUGAAUCAGAUGAAUCAGAUACAGGUUUAUUGAUUAAAUUGUUACCAGCUGAAAUAUUCUUUCUCUUGGUCCAAAAAAAAAAAAUUCUCACAUGACUCAAUAAACCUCCAUCUAUUUUAAAUUUCUCACCACACCUGGUGCAUUCAAAGACUCCGUGAACAAGUGAUGGCCACGUGCAGCGAUGACACUGUGCAAUGUCGAGCUGAACAAUGAUUUAGUCAUCUCUGUGGUAGCGGGCUGUGGUCGUAUCUCAGGAGAGUAAGAUCACAGAGGCUUGAAGGAAGAAAUUAAAGCUGAAGACUUGGGGGAUGAAUGGACGGAGAAGGGGGAUUGGGUAAAACUGUCACCAUUAAAGAGGGCCGUUUAAAGCACAUCCUCUGCCUUGGAAACCAGAAGGAGAAACUCUUCAGAUGCAGCCUCAUUAAACAAUAUAAGGUCUCUUUAUCAUGUGGCGACCUGCCGGAAGCAGGGCUGUGACCCGUCUUGGGUUCCGACCCAUCGUUUAAGAAGCCAGGGUUUUACGGGAAGUGUGAAUGUGGUGUGCAAUGAAAGGAUGGGAUGAGGUGUGUGUGUGUGUGUGUGUGUGUGUGUGUGUGUGUGUGUGUGUGUGUGUGUGUGUGUGUGUGUGUGUGUGUGUGUGUGUGUGUGUGUGUGUGUGUGUGUGCGGAUGCCUGUUUGUGUGUGUCUGCAGCGCACGCUGUUAUUAUGUUGCUGCGGUCGUAAUGAUGUAAGACGCGAGCUAGGGAGUAAACAAGAGCAGCACGCUAUCUACGAGCAGCAUGUGAACACAUUGUGCUUCUGUGGAAGUUUUGGUAAAAUGUGAUACAAUACGUGGAUUUACAUGAGGGUGUUGAUGAUAAAUCUGAUCUUUAGUUCUUCAGCAAACUCAACUAAGUAGAUAUUCACGAUUACAUAAAUUACACAAUAAUAAUAUUAAUAAACAUAAGUGUUUUAAUUAACUCAUUUAAAUAAUAGGUCAAUUUUUUUCUUUUCAGAUUAGAAUCUUUAGAAACAAGUAUAAAUGCAGACUGUGUGACACUUGUAGCUUGGAGUGUAGGUGUUUAUUUACAGGUGAUCAUCAGUUUGAAUCUAAAAAUUCUGAUGUAACAUGCAUGUUUAAAUACAUUAUGAUUAUGAAGAAGCUCAACAAAGAAUUUGAGGUCAAAGUUGCGAGAGGUCAAACCUUUGCUUUACAAACCUGUAUUGUCUUAUAAUAAUGUUAUGCCAUAUGAUAUUUGUCUUUUCUUUUGCUCUACUAGAAAUAAAUGUUUUUUUCCCAAAUAGUGUAGACAUUUUUUUGAACCUUCACUGUACUUUAUCCUGUAAUGAUGGAUGUUUCGAUAGCAAUUCUAAUGUCAUUAAAAUAUUUUACAAUCUUCUAAAGCAUUUUUUAUGCUUUAAUAAGUGACAUGCAGCCUACUUUCCUGAGGGUGGUUGUUAGCUCCUAAGACCUGGGAGUAGUGACAUCAUCAUCUUGAAGGACCAUUGAGUAUGAAUCCCAAAGUUCCCAUCAGCUGAAACCUUCCAGCACUGUGUGGCAGACUGAACAGUCUAAUAUUACACUAUACACAGUAUGAAACCAUUAAUCUGUUAAUGAGACAGAUUCAUGCUCUCUCUGCCCCAUUGCUUUAUACCCCCCUGCUUCUGCCUUGUCAAUCAGUAGAAGGAGGAAAAAGUCAUUAAAUCUCUCUGCUGGCCAUAUAUGUAAUUACAGUCUGCCUGUAUGUUGCUAAAUACGCCCCGGCGCUAGUCUGGUCUCCCUGGUCAUGUUUUUUCCUCCCACCGGCCGUGUUUGAAGCUCUCAUAAUUGGCAGAGGAAGCGUGUCAGGAUUAGAGGCUGCUGGUUUGAAACCCCGACACCCCCAUUUUCCUCUUCGUCUGUUUGCACCCCCCCACCCCCCGAUGCAGACAGCCAACCACAAAGUCCCUCUGCCUCUUUUCAUUUUCCUGCAGCUAUGUUCGUAUGCGUCGGAACCACAAAUGGAAUAUCUGUUUAAUCUUCAGGUACAAGUGAUUCACUAUUAAUUGAAGAAGAUGUUUUAAAACCAUUUCCCUUUAAUUGCUGGGUUUUGUGGCUUUUCUUCCUCAUCAUCUUCAUCAUCACGUACAUCAUCUACUGUAUCUGUACUACUAUCAUGAAUCCCAUUGUUAGCCUUUCUCAGGGCUUUUAUGAGUUUUAAUUAAGCUGGUGUAUAUUUGACUGGUGCCUGCAGGACGCCUGUGGUCAGGCCUCUCUCAUCUAUCACUGAACUCUUCUUAUUCACAACGCUGAUUUCUCAGCAGAGAGUCACUGCAUGACACGCUCAGAAACCGUUGGGGAGAUACACAAAUACCAGCGAAUUAUUUACUUUUCAGUUUAUUUACAUGUUAAAAUGAAACUUUUCGUGGUGCCGCUUAAUCGCUCGACUUCAACAGCGCUCAGUGUUUGGAAGCGGCACAAACCUGCUCUCACGUACGUUUUUACAGGGCUACCCCUGUCUCACUGGCAGCGGUAAAAGCCUUGUGGGUUCAGACAAAUGAAGGUUGUUUGGGCCAUCAAAGCAUUUAAAGCUGAAAUGAUGGAUCUGAUGGUCAGUGAUGUCAGCAAAGAUGUUGACUUUGCCUGAGUCAGAGCACUUUUUGGUCAGUGGAGCCCCUAAUUUCUCGGUCUGUCCGUCGCUGUCUCCCGGUUUCCGUCUCCCUUUUAACCUCUCCUGCUCUCACAUCAUCUGGCUCUGCUCUCUCACACAUCUAAAAACUGCAGCUCUCUCGUCCAUGCCAGUGUCCUGACCUCAACCAAAAGUAAAGGCAUUCACAAAUCACAUUCACAAGUUGUAUGAAAAUAAAUGAUAUGCAUUAAAACGUGGGUGUAAUAUUUGUGCAUCCUGUCCGUAGGUACUUUGAAUAUGCAAGUAUCAUUUGCAUUACUGAUCUUUCUUCCUAAGACAGCUACAUUAUAAUACUUUAUCUUCCAUCCAUCCAUUAUCUCUUCCUAUUCAAGUUCACAGAGGCGAUGGAUCAAUUUACAGAAAAGUAACAUUUUUCACCUCUAGGUGUCAGAAUAAACAAAAAAUCUGUAUAAUGUGUAAAUUAAUGCCAUAACAUUGCCAUUGUUUCAUGUUUUACACAUACAACAAUAUUAUUUUAAUACACUAAGUGAUGAUAAUGAAUGUCAACACCUUGUGCGGAAACUGAAUGUGUGAUAAUUGCUGGGUUUGGAGUUCGCUGCCCAUCUAUUGUCCAAGCCUGUGAUGACUGUGCUGGGGAUCGUCGGAGCUGAACUGUAGGAGAGGGAGGACUCACAGGCCGCCUGUCUGUCACUGGAGUUAGACAGACACUCACGGACAUGUUUACACCCUGGUUGUUUAAAUUUACAGUCACCUGGACUCAAGAAAACGUCUUCUAACCUAAAAUUAUAGGACGAACGCUGCCUAGUAUUGAGCAGAAACAGUUUAUUUCUGCUCAUUAUGUGUUUUGUUGGAACCAAAAAAUAUAUAUAUUAUUACCAUAAUACUAAUAUAAGAAUUUAAAAGAGACUAUCGGCCCUGUGGCCUUUUCACCCUCGUUGCCAUGUUCUAGAUGGCACGUAGCCGCUCUCCACUGUUUUGAAUGGGCUUUGUAAAAACCAUUGUAACCAUGUGAACAAUAGUGAAGUGUCUGAAUGGGAAUGUCUUCAUUCAAUAAACAGCCGAACAAUAAGA